CACCAGCUCCACGGCAGCUCCCACACAGCCCGUGCGCCCUCGCCAGCCCUCUGCGCUCUCAGGGAGGAGACUCCUGUGAGCCCACACGGAAUAGCCUCUGCCUUCUCUCCGUGCUCGCCUACCUAUUGGUAGUAAAGGUGUGUUUAAGCCCUGAAGUCCAUUGAUAAGUGUCUCCUGCUUCCACAUGGAUCCGACUGUGUCCUCACCUACAUGUGUUUUGCCUGAGGAGUUUCCAAGCUGUCAGCAGACACCUGGUCACACAAACUGUUGACUUAGUGUUGUCUCACUUGAAGGGGCAAAAGAUACUCCUAUGAAAGGGUUGGAGGAAAGUGGUAAACCUCUUGGAUCAUUUACACUGCCUGGAGAAUUUCCUCAACAGUACAUCCACAGCAUGAUGUUCCCCAGCUCUUCCUUUUUGCCUCUUCCUUCCACCCAAAAAUUUUCAUACCUUCAGAUAAACCCCUCGAGUGUCAUUACGUUGUUUGAAUUCAAAUGAGGCACAACGCCCUACCACAAAAACCCACUCUUGCAAAUCUGACCCAGCAGAUAGAGGUUUAAAGCUAAACCAGUACAGAGGCUUGAAUGACCCUGUGGUCAAUGCCAGACCAGCAUCUUAAUGGACCCCCUAUGGAAACAUGGGCUGAGGUCCACAGCUUCAGACAUAGACGACAACAGCAGCUCCUCUGUCUUCUGUUCCUUCCAUGUUUGAUCUUCUGCCUGCGCUUUCUUCUGCUGGGUCCUGGAGCCCGUAGGAAUGAGGGUAUUGUGUCCAUAUUGCAUGUGAUGACAUGUGUUUGAACGAGCACCAGGGCAGCCUGGCAAGAAGAGCAUGAAAUCCAGCAGGACUGAACAGCAGGCCAGGUCCCUGCUGUGGAGCAGCUUGGACACUUCUUUAAAACCCUUUGGGGAUAAAAGAAGCAGGAAGAAAAACAAACCUGCCAUGGCACCUGUUUUUUUCUUCUUCCCAGAGGCUUAAGGAGGCCAGGGAAGAAAUAGGGUUGAACAUGUCAGCCUGGUCAGGGGCUUCAGCACAUUAGUGAAAAAUAGGAUGCAAAGGCAUUUCCUGAUAUGGGAAAGUAACCUGGGAAUUCCCACAUCAAGAUGGGCUGUGCUGAGUACCAGAGAAUGGUGGAUCCCCCCAAAUGUCUUUGCAAAGAAACAGGAAACAACAGAUGGCAGUGAGAGUCCUCCUGGGCAAGGCAUUUUGUGUUGAGUUUUUGUAGUUCAUCUUGGCCACUCUGGCCCCAGAGAUGGCCAGCGCAAAGGAACUGAAAAGACACUUCCUUUAGAAUUCAAGAAAAGAAAUACUGCCCUGGGAGCUGUACUAGAAAGUGAAGAAAGUUUGAUAUUCCACAGAGAGGUGCACAACUGAUGAGUGAGAACUUUUUGAUGACUGAAGAACUUGGUCUGGUAAGAUUAAUUAACUCACAUAUAUCUAGGAGCUUUCACCCAGAGAUCAUAGAGCUCUUAGAAACAGAGGGCAAGGGAAAGAAUGGAAAGAAGCCAGUUUUGGGAUAUAAUAUUUUUUCUAACAAUGCACAACAGGAGUAAAUCAUAGCCUAUGUUUUGCCUGCACUGCAGAAGAAAUUUCAACAGGAGUAACAUGCAUCAGGGCACCUAGUAGCCUUGUUUUCAUGAAAAAAAACCCACCAUAUUUGUAGCAAGCACAGGUUUUGCCUCCAAGUCAAUAUAUUAUCACUAGACUGUAGAAGAGGGUAGCAAGAAGCUGAGGCUACCGGAGGGAAUGGCAGCACUGUUUUCUUUGUGGCAGCUGAACACUGGUACUUGGGACUGCUCUUUAUUUAUCCCCAUACCACUCUAAACCAAACCAAGCAUAAACUCAGACUGAAGAUAAAAUGGAAACUUUCCAUGUUGGAGUCCCCUGGGCUGAAGAAUGAAGGGAAGAAGAGCCAUCCUUCUCUAUUUUGAAGUCCAUGCAUCAAUACAGGUGAGAUCCAGGGUGUGGGAAGAGCAAGGAUAACCCCCACUUUUAAGUGUAUUUUGUGCUCAAGAGAGAAGCAGACUAGGAUAGGUGAAAACACUUAAUUUUUUCUUUUAGGAACAGAAGCCAUUCCGAAAGCUCAGCUGACUUCUGUGCUCAAAACCAGAUGGAUUGUAAUGGUAAUAAAAGAAUUAAAUCUUUAUCAUCUGGCAGCAAAGCCAAGAGAAGAAAAACUAAGCUCAAAGGGUUUGAAAAGGACUCCACAUUCCCCAUGGAGGAAACAAAUGUAAAUCUGGCAAGCGGUCACUUGGAGAUCCAAGAUCUGUGGGUUGAAAUGAGGUCUGAGUUAUUCAGCCAAGUUUAUUGCCAAGCUCAAUGGCAAUUGUCCUUUUAGUAUACAAAAGAUUGCAGUCUUGGAAUGUCUGGAGGUCUUUCUGCACCACCAAGGGUUAUCAGAGCUCACAGAGUGACUACUUUGCAAAUUUGUUUGUUGUGUUAUGACAAUGUUUUAAAGUUUCAUGUUGCUGCCUGAUGCUCUUGUGAAAGAGAUGUCAAGAUCUGAUAUUGGUGACACUGCGAAUGCCUUGAUCCUAUCUGAACAUUACUGAGGAAGUUCCACAAUCCUAUUGGGGCUAAAACAAAAAAAUUUCAUUAUUUCAGUAAAUGAAAAGGUAUGAUGGAAGUGUAUGGGAUGUGGAAAACCAUUAAGUAAAAUCAGUAUUUUUCUUAAACUCACUGCAUCAAGUCUACAACACCUUUAUUAAGCAAACCUUCUUAGCUUAAAACAUACUGUAAUAAUUACUUGUGCUCACAGAAACAUAUGUCCUGGUCUUCAGCUUUCCCUGAACCAUUUUGCCUCAAUGUUGCUAUGCCUUUGUACUUCACCAAAAAUAUCAUCAGGAGGACAGUUCUUGACUCCCCUGGAGGAGAGAAUGAGGAAUUCCAAAUGAAGCUGAUUUAGCUGACCAGUGAGUCCUUGAAUGCAUGUGCAGGAAGUCAAGGGAAAACUGAUGAAGAGCUCACAGCAAAGGUUAAAGCAUUUCUGAAGCUCUCAAGCAAGGUAUGCCAGCUGUAGAAGAACAGGAGUCAUUUGGAAAAAACUUAUUACCUUUCUGUAUCUAACCACGUUGAAGAUUUAUUUAUCCAUGCAAACUAGAAGUCUAUGUUAAUAAUACAUCCUAAAGGCUAUCUUCCUUCCAGUGAUGAUUUUUAAAGUUAAUUUUAGGGGAACUGUUGACCUUAUCAAUGCUUCACCUACCCCCACUGCAGGAAAAGCUUGCUCUAGGCAGUCCUCCAUAGGGCUACCUUCUGUCUUGCCAUUCAGCCAGGAUGAAACUCUCUGAUUUGUCAGUUCCUGCCUGUCUCCAAAUGCUCUUCCCAAUUCUUCUGUCCAAUGGAAAGCAAAUACCAAAAUGAGCAGGACUGUGGUGAUGAUUUUGAGACAGAUGUUGGGAUUAAAGCUUUGCAGAAAUGAGGGUAGCAAAGCAUAGCCACAAACUGCUUGAGGAAGCUGCAGAACUUCUACUGCUGCAACUUCUAUGGAAACAGCUGGAUGACUGUCAGGAAAGACAUAGAAACAGCCUGCCUUCCCCUGGCAUAGGAAGCUGGACUGGAUAAUCCUUCAAAGCUUCCUCCAGGCUGCAUUUUUUCUUUUUAUGGCUUACACUUCUGGGCAGUCUCUUUUUUUGUUCUUCCAGUCUUAUGUGAAGGCAGUGAAUCCAGAAGUGUUUGCCUUAACACUGACAGAAUGCAUGUGAAAAAAAUCCUGUCCUGCCUUAUCUGGCAGGAGUACAUUACAACAUUUUCCUGACUGGUGCAAUGCCAGUAAAUCAGAUAUUGUAAGAUGCAGCCUUUAUGUAUCUACCUUAUCAAACUCUCAACCUUCAGAUCACCAUAUGAUGAUCUUCAUAAGGCAUAUGACAUAAUUAUGUGAAUGACCUCCAGAAUAUUUUUCAAAAUCACUACCACCCUUCCCUUUUCCUGACUUGCUAGGAUAAACCCAUGACACAACCAUGGCCUUCUCACUGGACACUACCAAAGGACUCCAGCUAGGGAGACUGAAUGGUGAUCUAAAGCAAUCUGUUGUAAUUUGAACACCAGCAUCAAUAAUUGAAGCAAAUACACAUUUACCACAUAGUCCAGUAUAGCUUUCCUGCCUUCUUAUUAAUUCAUCUGAAAAACCACAAAUAAAACAGCCCCAAAUCCAAACCUUAAGUAAUUUGUAAGAGUUUUCCUGGGUUUCAAGACAUGGACAAUAAAAAGAGUCCCGCUUGGUUUGAAAAUAAAAAGUUUUUCACAUGUACUUGUAUAUAUUAACAUAUGCCUAGGAAUGCAUAUAAAAUAAAGUACUGGGAGGAGGUAUACAAAUGUGUGUAAAUAAAAGAAAUAGAAAAGGAAGAGUGUGACAGAUUAUGUGUUUCAUGUGCAUGCAUUUGAAUAUAUGUGCAUUCAGGGACACUCACUCCAGAAAGAGCAAGUUAAGAACAAAAUACAAAAGUCAAAUUUAUAAAAAAAAAAAAUCACACUUUUAGGGAAAUGAACAUGUUUAUAUCAGUGAAACACUAAAUACCAUACAGUCAGGCAGUCUGUCAAGAAGGAAGUGGUCAUCAUCCAAAUGCUUUAGAAAAGAAA